GAUGAACGCUGGCGGCGUGCCUAAUACAUGCAAGUCGAGCGAACAGAUAAGGAGCUUGCUCCUUUGACGUUAGCCGCGGACGGGUGAGUCACACGUGGGUAACCUACCUAUAAGACUGAAAUAUCUCCGGGAAACCGGCGCUUAUCCCGGAUAACAUUUAGCACCGCAUGGUUCUAAGGUGAAAGAUGGUUUUGGUAUCUCUAAUCGAUGGACCCGCGCCGUAUUAGCUGGUUGGUAAGGUAACGGCUUACCAAGGGAACGAUACGUAGCCGACCUGAGAGGGGGAUCGGCCACGCUGGAGCUGAGAGACGGUCCAGACUCCUACGGGAGGCAGCAGUAGGGAAUCUACCGCGAUGUGCGAAAGCCUGACGGAGCAGCGGCGCGUGAGUGAAGAAGGUCUUCGGAUCGGAAAACUCUGUUAGUAGGGAAGAACAAAUGUGUAAGUAACUGUGCGCGUCUUGACGGUACCUAAACAGAAAGCCACGGCUAACUACGU
rnacentral:rRNA from 1 species